AAAUUUUAAGAGUUUGAUCCUGGCUCAGGAUGAACGCUGGCUGUGUGCCUAAUACAUGCAUGUCGAGCGAGGUUCUUUUGAACCUAGCGGCGAAUGGGUGAGUAACACGUGCUUAAUCUACCCUUUAGAUUGGAAUACACAAUGGAAACAUUGGCUAAUGCCGGAUACGCAUGGAAUCGCAUGAUUCCGUUGUGAAAGGAGCCUUUAAAGCUCCGCUAGAGGAUGAGGGUGCGGAACAUUAGUUAGUUGGUAGGGUAAUGGCCUACCAAGACUAUGAUGUUU
rnacentral:rRNA from 1 species